GUCUGCCAUCUUUGUCUUUUUCUUUAGCUUCCAGGCUUAUAUACCUAUGGGAGAGAGAGAGAGGUGUGUGAAAAAAGUGAGAGACAGAAAAGUGUGGAGGGAAUGAGAAGGGAUGUAAAAAUUUACCUAUUAUACAUUUCUUGAGCUGGUGCCAAAAGCUAAGAGGAGUGCGAGGAAUCAGCCUCUUGCCUGAACUAGCCACUCCUACAUCUUCCAGGAUACUGUGAAUGAGUGUGCCUGGAGCUGACCUGAUGGGGAACUGUGAAUCUCUGGCCAAAGCUACUCUUGGACAGGACUCAAAACUCCCCAGCUAUCUUUCUAGAACAAACAGAACUCCACUCUCUGUGUCACUUGAAUCCAAACUUUCAUCUAGAAUUAAAAACAGACCAUAUACCUGACUCCUGCCACACAAGAAAUUCUGUGCAACACAUCCCAGAUAUGUAGCAUCUGUCAAACUACUGAUCCCAGUCCUGAGCUCUACUACUGGACCACCCCGGUUCUCUGUUCAUCAGGCCUGUGGACUGCUCUCAGGGGAAGACUGGCUGGCCAGCUUCACCCACAUGCCACGAGUAAGCAAAUACAUUGCGUCUGCUAAUAGUGGACACCUUCUCAGCUUGGGUGGAGGCUUUCCCUACUGCUAAUAAAAGGGCUUCCAUAAUUUCUACUAUAUUACUAAAUGGUAUUAUUUCAAGAUUCAGACUACUUCUCUUCAUAAGAAAAUAGGCCAGAGUUUAGCUCUCAAAUUGCUCAAAUAGUAGCUGUCUCUACAUAAUUCAUGGUAUUUCCACCUUUUCUAUCACUACCACCCCCCAUUCCUCCAGGAAAGUUAGAACGGGUUAGUUGGAGCCUGUUUCAAAAAUCCAUUAAACUCCCUCUCCCCGACUGUCUUCUUAAAAACACUGGCUAAAACUUCCUCUUUAAGCCUUGUUAAGGAUUAGAUCUCUUCUGCAGAAACUGUUAAUACUUAGCCCAUUUGAAACUAUAGGAGAGGUCUUUCCAUACUUCUGAGGCGUUUCAUCCUCCUCUCAGCAAAAUGUGCUGUCAUUUAGGCAUCUAUGCAGAUGCACC